rnacentral:tRNA from 1 species
GUCUUUAUGGUGUUACAAGCACAUAGUCCUUUCAAGACUAAAGUAAACUAAGUUUUAAAGACG